AUUAGUGGGUAAUUGCGUAUCGUUUUUUCGAUAUGAGGAAAGUCCAUGCUCGCACUGGCUGCGAUGCCAGUAGUGUUCGUGCUAGGUGAAAAAAUAAGCCUAGGCAGCUACGAUGUAGUUGACGGCCAACGAAAGGCCUAAGGGAAACUAUGGCUGAUUAGUUGUUAAGGUGCCACAGUGACGAACCACCAAAGAAAUGCGGUGGGUGGAACGCGGUAAACCCCUCGAGCGGGCAACCCAAACUUUGGUAGGGGCGCUUGACCUAGUAAACUGAAAUGAUGGUCGGGGAGGCAGUAAUGCCUGAGAUAGAUGAUUGCCACCAAAGUUGAAUCGCCAAUUCAGCUUUGGAACAAAACAUGGCUUAUAGCU
rfam:Weissella oryzae SG25 DNA, scaffold: sequence07.